GUACCUCGGUGUGACUUUAACCAAGCAAGUAAAAGAUCUGUACAAUAAGAACUUCAAGACACUGAGGAAAGAAAUUGAAGAAGACCUCAGAAGAUGGAAAGAUCUCCCAUGCUCAUGGAUUGGCAGGAUUAAUAUAGUAAAAAUGGCCAUUUUACCAAAAGCAAUCUACAGAUUCAAUGCAAUCCCCAUCAAAAUACCAAUCCAAUUCUUCAAAGAGUUAGACAGAACAAUUUGCAAAUUCAUCUGGAAUAACAAAAAACCCAGGAUAGCUAAAGCUAUCCUCAACAA
rnacentral:lncRNA from 1 species